rnacentral:rRNA from 1 species
AAUCCAUAGGUUAAUGAGGCGAACCGGGGGAACUGAAACAUCUAAGUACCCCGAGGAAAAGAAAUCAACCGAGAUUCCCCCAGUAGCGGCGAGCGAACGGGGAGGAGCCCAGAGCCUGAAUCAGCAUGUGUGUUAGUGGAAGCGUCUGGAAAGGCGCGCGAUACAGGGUGACAGCCCCGUACACAAAAGCGCAUGUGCUGUGAGCUCGAUGAGUAGGGCGGGACACGUGGUAUCCUGUCUGAAUAUGGGGGGACCAUCCUCCAAGGCUAAAUACUCCUGACUGACCGAUAGUGAACCAGUACCGUGAGGGAAAGGCGAAAAGAACCCCGGCGAGGGGAGUGAAAAAGAACCUGAAACCGUGUACGUACAAGCAGUGGGAGCACCCUUUUGGGUGUGACUGCGUACCUUUUGUAUAAUGGGUCAGCGACUUAUAUUCUGUAGCAAGGUUAACCGCAUAGGGGAGCCGGAGGGAAACCGAGUCUUAAUUGGGCGUUAAGUUGCAGGGUAUAGACCCGAAACCCGGUGAUCUAGCCAUGGGCAGGUUGAAGGUUGGGUAACACUAACUGGAGGACCGAACCGACUAAUGUUGAAAAAUUAGCGGAUGACCUGUGGCUGGGGGUGAAAGGCCAAUCAAACCGGGAGAUAGCUGGUUCUCCCCGAAAGCUAUUUAGGUAGCGCCUCGUGAAUUCAUCUCCGGGGGUAGAGCACUGUUUCGGCUAGGGGGCCAUCCCGGCUUACCAACCCGAUGCAAACUGCGAAUACCGGAGAAUGUUAUCACGGGAGACACACGGCGGGUGCUAACGUCCGUCGUGAAGAGGGAAACAACCCAGACCGCCAGCUAAGGUCCCAAAGUCAUGGUUAAGUGGGAAACGAUGUGGGAAGGCCCAGACAGCCAGGAUGUUGGCUUAGAAGCAGCCAUCAUUUAAAGAAAGCGUAAUAGCUCACUGGUCGAGUCGGCCUGCGCGGAAGAUGUAACGGGGCUAAACCAUGCACCGAAGCUGCGGCAGCGACGCUGAUGCGUUGUUGGGUAGGGGAGCGUUCUGUAAGCCUGUGAAGGUGGCCUGUGAGGG